AAUUUGAGGUCUGACCUGCCCACUGAAUUAUUAAAUGGCCGCAGUAAUUUGACUGUGCAAAGGUAGCAUAAUCAUUAGUUUUUUAAUUAAAAGCUUGUAUGAAUGGUUGGACGAAAUAAAUACUGUCUUUAAAUAAUAAAUAGAAUUUAAUUUUUAAGUUAAAAAGCUUAAAUAUUUAUAAAAGACGAGAAGACCCUAUAGAUCUUUAUAUUAUUUUAUAUAUAUUUAAUUAAGAUCAUUUUAUUAUUUAUAUUUAAUAAUAUUUUAUUGGGGUAAUAAAAAGAUUAAAUUAAUUCUUUAUUAUUUUAAAUAUUAAUUAAUAGAUUUUUGAUCCUUUAUUAGAGAUUAUAAGAUUAAGUUACCUUAGGGAUAACAGCGUAAUUUUUUUAAAGAGUUCAUAUCGAUAAAAAAGUUUGCGACCUCGAUGUUGGAUUAAAAAUUAUUCUAGGUGUAGUAGUUUAGAAUUUUGGUCUGUUCGACCAUUAAAUUUUUACAUGAUCUGAGUUCAGACCGGUGUAAGCCAGGUCGGUUUCUAUCUUUAUUUAAUUAAUAUAUUUUAGUACGAAAGGACCAAAUAUAAAUUAUAUUUAUAAUUAAAUUUUUGAAUUAUA
rnacentral:rRNA from 1 species